rnacentral:rRNA from 1 species
CCCUUAGAUGUUCUGGGCCGCACGCGCGCUACACUGACGAAUGCAACGAGCUUAUAACCUUGGCCGAAAGGUCUGGGUAAUCUCCAAAUUUCGUCGUGAUGGGGAUAGAUUAUUGCAAUUAUUAAUCUUCAACGAGGAAUGCCUAGUAAGCGCAAGUCAUCAGCUUGCGUUGAUUACGUCCCUGCCCUUUGUACACACCGCCCGUCGCUCCUACCGAUUGAAUGGUCCGGUGAAAUCCUCGGAUCGAGCCGUGGGGCAACUCCGGUUCGAGAAGUUGAUUAAACCUUACCAUUUAGAGGAAGGUGAAGUCGUAACA